rnacentral:rRNA from 1 species
GACGAACGCUGGCGGCGUGCUUAACACAUGCAAGUCGAACGGAAAGGCCCUGCUUUUGUGGGGUGCUCGAGUGGCGAACGGGUGAGUAACCCGUGAGUAACCUGCCCUUGACUUUGGGAUAACUUCAGGAAACUGGGGCUAAUACCGGAUAGGAGCUCCUGCUGCAUGGUGGGGGUUGGAAAGUUUCGGCGGAUGGGGAUGGACUCGGGGCUUAUCAGCUUGUUGGUGGGGUAGUGGCUUACCAAGGCUUUGACGGGUAGCCGGCCUGAGAGGGUGACCGGCCACAUUGGGACUGAGAUACGGCCCAGACUCCUACGGGAGGCAGCAGGGGGGAAUAUUGCACAAUGGGCGGAAGCCUGAUGCAGAAACGCCGCGUGCGGGAUGACCGCCUUCGGGUUGUAAACCGCUUUCGCCUGUGACGAAGCGUGAGUGACGGUAAUGGGUAAAGAAGCACCGGCUAACUACGUG